GAUCCUGGCUCAGAUUGAACGCUGGCGGAAUGCUUUACACAUGCAAGUCGAACGGCAGCACGGGGCAACCUGGUGGCGAGUGGCGAACGGGUGAGUAAUACAUCGGAACGUGCCCAAUCGUGGGGGAUAACGUAGCGAAAGUUACGCUAAUACCGCAUACGAUCUACGGAUGAAAGCGGGGGAUCGCAAGACCUCGCGCGAGUGGAGCGGCCGGUGUCAGAUUAGGUAGUUGGUGGGGUAAAGGCUCACCAAGCCAACGAUCUGUAGCUGGUCUGAGAGGACGACCAGCCACACUGGAACUGAGACACGGUCCAGACUCCUACGGGAGGCAGCAGUGGGGAAUUUUGGACAAUGGGCGCAAGCCUGAUCCAGCCAUUCCGCGUGCAGGAUGAAGGCCUUCGGGUUGUAAACUGCUUUUGUACGGAACGAAACGGCGAGCUCUAAUACAGUUUGCUAAUGACGGUACCGUAAGAAUAAGCACCGGCUAACUACGUG
rnacentral:rRNA from 1 species